rnacentral:rRNA from 1 species
UACGGAGGGAGCUAGCGUUGUUCGGAAUUACUGGGCGUAAAGCGCACGUAGGCGGCUUUUUAAGUCAGGGGUGAAAUCCCGGGGCUCAACCCCGGAACUGCCCUUGAAACUGGAGAGCUAGAAUCUUGGAGAGGCGAGUGGAAUUCCGAGUGUAGAGGUGAAAUUCGUAGAUAUUCGGAAGAACACAGUAGGCGAAGCGACUGCC